GGAAUCUUCCGCAAUGGGCGAAAGCCUGACGGAGCAACGCCGCGUGAGUGAAGAAGGCCUUCGGGCCGUAAAGCUCUGUUGCCGGGGAAGAGUGCUAUGGGGGAACCUGUAGAGGGACGGUACCCGGCGAGGAAGCCGCGGCUAACUACGUGCCAGCAGCCGCGGUAAUACGUAGGCGGCAAGCGUUGUCCGGAAUCAUUGGGCGUAAAGGGGGCGCAGGCGGGGACGCAGGUCCUUCCUGAAAGUUCGGGGCUCAGCCCCGUGAUGGGAAGGAAACCGUGUCUCUUGAGCGCGGGAGAGGGAAGCGGAAUUCCUGGUGUAGCGGUGAAAUGCGUAGAUAUCAGGAAGAACACCAGUGGCGAAGGCGGCUUCCUGGACCGCGGCUGACGCUGAGGCCCGAAAGCCAGGGGAGCGAACG
rnacentral:rRNA from 1 species